UUAAUUUAAUAAUAAAAUUAAAAAUUAAAAAUAUAAUAUAUGUAUAUAUAUAAAUUUAAUAAAUUUAAAUAAUAAAUAAUUUAAUAAAAAAAUUAAUAAUAAAAAAAAUUUUUAAUUAGUAAUUAUAAAUAAAUUUAAAUAAAUUAUUGUGCCAGCAAUUGCGGUUAAACAAUUUAAGUGAUUAAAUUAAAUUAAAGAAAAUUAAUAGUAAUAAAUAAUUAUUGAAUUAAAAAUUUUAAGUGAAAUUUAAUUUUUAAGAAUUAUUAAUGGAAAUAAAUAUAUGAUUAAUUUUUUAAAAUAUAAAAAAACUAGAAUUAGAUACUCUAUUAUAAAUAUAAAAAUAAAAAGUUUAAGGAUUAAAUGAUAAAACAUUAAAAUUAAAAAAUUUGGCGGUAUAAAUAAUUUAGAGGAAUUUGUUAAAUUAAAUUGAUAAUCCACGAUAAGAUUUACUUUAUUAUAUAUAUAUAUAUAUAUAUAUAUAUAUAUAUAUAUAUAUAUAUAUAUAUAUUUUUAUAUAUUUUCGUUAAAUAAAAUUUAAAAAAAUUUUAUAAAAUUAAAAAAUUAAAAAUUUCAGAUCAAAAUGUAGAAUAAUAAAGAUUUUAAUGAAUUACAAUUAUAAUAAAAUGAAAAAUAAAAAUAAUUUAUAAUUUGGAUUUAAAAAUUUAAAAAUUAAUGAAAUUGGAUUUAAAAGUAAAAUUGUUAAAUUAAACAAUUUGAUUAAUUAAAUAUAUGUACAAAUUGCCCGUCAUUCUUAAAUUUAAAAUUUAAGACAAGUCGUAACAUAGUAAUUAUACUGGAAAGUAUUGUUAGAAA
rnacentral:rRNA from 1 species